AAAACGGUCCUUUUAAGGGCCAAACACAUUUUCUUUAAGAAGCUG
rfam:Xiphophorus maculatus strain JP 163 A Contig5365.2, whole genome shotgun sequence.